rnacentral:rRNA from 1 species
CAGUCGCCGCGGUAAUGCGUAGGUGGCAAGCGUUGUCCGGAAUUAUUGGGCGUAAAGCGCGCGCAGGUGGUUUAAUAAGUCUGAUGUGAAAGCCCACGGCUCAACCGUGGAGGGUCAUUGGAAACUGUUAAACUUGAGUGCAGGAGAGAAAAGUGGAAUUCCUAGUGUAGCGGUGAAAUGCGUAGAGAUUAGGAGGAACACCAGUGGCGAAGGCGGCUUUUUGGCCUGUAACUGACACUGAGGCGCGAAAGCGUGGGGAGCAAACAGGAUUAGAUACCCCCGUAGUCCCUGUCUCUUAUAC